rnacentral:misc_RNA from 1 species
AAGUCGUAACAAGGUAACCGUAGGUGAACCUGCGGUUGGAUCAUUAAAAAUUAAAGUGGAAAAGGAUUCGAUGCAUUUCGAGUCCUUUUCCCGCCUUUCGAGGAUCACAUUCUGUGCACUGUUCUGUUUUUUGUCGGGUGGGCAGUGCGAGCUGCUUGUCAGUGUGGGAGUUCAUCUGAUGAACCUUUGCACCAUGGACAUCCCGUCAGCCAUGUCCAAAACCAAUUUUAUUACUUUCUUGUCUCACAUUAUAUUUCAUAAAUAUAUAAAACAA